rnacentral:rRNA from 1 species
CCUACGGGAGGCAGCAGUGGGGAAUAUUGGACAAUGGACGAAAGUCUGAUCCAGCAAUGCCGCGUGAGUGAUGAAGGCCUUAGGGUUGUAAAGCUCUUUUACCAGGGAUGAUAAUGACAGUACCUGGAGAAUAAGCUCCGGCUAACUCCGUGCCAGCAGCCGCGGUAAUACGGAGGGAGCUAGCGUUGUUCGGAAUUACUGGGCGUAAAGCGCACGUAGGCGGUUAUUCAAGUCAGAGGUGAAAGCCCGGGGCUCAACCCCGGAACUGCCCUUUGAAACUAGAUAGCUAGAAUCCUGGAGAGGUGAGUGGAAUUCCGAGUGUAGAGGUGAAAUUCGUAGAUAUUCGGAAGAACACCAGUGGCGAAGGCGGCUCACUGGACAGGUAUUGACGCUGAGGUGCGAAAGCGUGGGGAGCAAACGAGGAUUAGAUACCCGUGGUAGUCCACGCCGUAAACGAUGAUAACUAGCUGUCCGGGCACAGUGGUGUCGGUUGGGUCGGCGCGACGACGUACGUACGUAGUUAAGUUACGUCCGUCCGGUCGGGUACGGUACGGUACGUACGAACGUAAACGUUAAACGUAACGUAAGUAGUAGUAGUACGGUCGUAGAGUACGUCGACGACGACGACGACGGAGGGAGGAG